ACUGUUGCUAGUGUGCAACUCU
rnacentral:miRNA from 1 species